UACGAACCGUACAAACGUUAUUCGGAAUCACUGGGCUUAAAGGGUGCGUAGGCGGCCAUGUAAGUGAGGUGUGAAAUCCCUCGGCUCAACCGAGGAACUGCGCUUCAUACUGCAUGGCUUGAGGGAGACAGGGGUCAGCGGAACUGAUGGUGGAGCGGUGAAAUGCGUUGAUAUCAUCAGGAACACCGGUGGCGAAAGCGGCUGACUGGGUCUCUUCUGACGCUGAGGUACGAAAGCUAGGGAGCGAACGGGAGUAGAGUAC
rnacentral:rRNA from 1 species